UAUAAUGUCAGAGAUGCAGAGUAAGACAACUGUAUGGAGGACAGUCAGAAAAGUUUUCCUGGCUCUGAAACGACUUUUACUCAUCAUUGUGGUUUUCCUGGACAUAAACCUGUCAGAGCAUCAAGGAGGAUCCACAGGAUUGCAGGAUUUCCCAGUGUGAUUGGCUGCAUAGAUGCACACAUCCCCAUCACAGCUCCCUCACAUCAUGAACAGGAAGUCCAUUCACAGCAUAAAUGUGCAGGUAGGCUACAGGUAGACUGACUACUGUUUCUAAAUGUUAAAGACUGCAUCAUAGUUCAACAUCUGUCAUUCUCUGCACUGUCCAGAUCAUAUGUGAUGCUGCAUACAUCAUUUCUAAUGUGGAGGCCACGUGGUCUGGGUCUGUUCAUGACUCCAGGAUUUAUGGAGAGUCUAACCUGAGCAACAGACUGCAGCGUGGUCAGCAGCAUAAAGAUUUUCACAAUAGAAUUCUCUUGUCUCCCUCCUUUAAUAUACUCUGAUGUAUCCACUAUACAUUACAGGAGAGUUUGAUGGCCUUCUGCUGGGUGACAGGGGUUACCAUGACAACCCAGGCUGAUGACCUCAUACCCUGACCCUGAACCAGGCCCCCAACAGAACUUCAACCGGACUCACUGCAGGACCAGAGCCCGGGUGGAGAUGACCAUAGGCCUGCUGAAAGCCCGUUUCCAGAGCCUACGUCUCCUCAGGGUGACCCCUGAGAGGGCCUGUGAUAUUACUGUGGCAUGUGUUGUUCUUCAUAAUAUUACCACUAUUAGAGGAGAGCAACACCCUGCCCUACAAACUGAAGACCCAGAUGAUGAGCCCAUCCACCUGCAGCUAUCCAGGACAGCAGAGCAGUCAGAGACACCGUAUGCAAGAAUCACUUUAGAGUUUAAGUCUCCAUCAUCACCACCACAGCAAAUAAAGACAUGAUACACAUUUCA